ACCUGGGGAUCUUAUUAAAAGCUAGUUUCUGAUUCACUAAAUCUGUGUGCGGUGGAAGUUGAGGGCAGAGAAGCUCCCAAGGGUGUCAAGCUGACCCUGAACCCGACUUUGAGGGUUAAGGUCCCAAAUGGCAUCGCCAGCACCAGGGACAGACACUAAAAUUGUAGAAAUCGUCUCAAGAAAUGAACAGCCUCUAAGUCAGAUGUUGAAUGUGAAAGAAAUCAGGGUGUGUACGUGUGUGUGUGUGCACGUGUGUGCCUGUGUUUGUCUCUGUGCAUGUUUCUAUGUGUGCACGUGUGUAUGUGUCUGUGCAUGUGUGUUUCUGUGUGUGUGCCUGUGUGUGUAUUGGCUUAGAUCUGUUCGAGACUUUUUAUUUGAUGAGAUCGAUAUAUGUCACCACUUUUGGAAAGGACAACGUAUAUACAAAGACAAUGAUUACUUAUGUAAUGUGAACGGAGUCUCCUUCCUAUGUUUUUAUGCACAUGAAACUCACCAUUAGAAACAUUCAUUAAGGUUUGAAUAAGGACAAAUCACAAGCAUUAAGAAGAGCUGUCAACCAUUUUAAACAGCCAUCAACUAAUUUUGGCAAAAACAGUCUCUUGAGAACUGUUUAUUUUUAAUACUUCAACUAGAAAUGGCUUUAACACGACACCCUUCAGUGCCAGGUGUCAUUUCAGUCUGGACCUUCACUGGAUUGGCCACAUCUGCGUUAAUGUCAUGGUUAUUGGUGGCAUUAAGGGCCCUACCUAAAGAAAUCAUUAUCAAAG
rnacentral:lncRNA from 1 species